rnacentral:misc_RNA from 1 species
AACGCAAAUGGCGCUUUCUGGUAUCCCGGGGAGCAUGCCUGCUUGAGAACCGUAAAGAAAUGUCACUGAAAGGGAUUCCCCAACGGGGGAUUUCUUCCGGUGGAAUUGGAUUACCGGCCGGUGGAUGUAUGUAUGUAUGUCAGCUGGUUCUGUGAUCCUAAAGACAUGUGUCACUUUUUGUUGCGUAGGGGUUGGUGGAAGUGUGUAUCAUAUCUUCCUUUCACCCUAAGGCGAGGAUAAUUAGGAAGGAGAGAGACAGUUUUCUUUCUCAAUCUUUCCAUUUUUCACAACAGCCGAUAGGGUUGGGAGACAGUUUUCUUUCACACCCCCGAAACAUGGUCUCAAAUCAGGCAAGAGAACCCGCUGAACUUAA